ACGACUCGAAUACACGUUAUAUGCUUUUUGACACCUACGGCCUUGUUCUACGUUACCGCUGGUUUGGAUGUGGGGAGAAUUUGUUAUGCACCUGAUCAAUGCAUCGGUUUCCCUGUGCGUGCUGCGCGGGGUGUGUCGGAUUUAGAUCAACGUACAGAUAAUGUGUGUGUUUCGUUAGUAACAGUAAAAAUGCCCCUCGUCGUAAUAACUGGCUUCCCUGCAUCGGGCAAAUCACAAAGAUGUUCAGACUUGUCGAGUUAUAUGAAAGAGUCUUUUAAGGGAAAAGUUGUGAUCAUAUGUGAGCAUGAUUACAUUUCUACCAAGGACUCCACAUACUCAUCACCACAAGUCGAGAAGGAUGUGCGUGCAGCAAUGAAAGGUGAUGUUGUUAGGCAAAUAUCAAAGGAUGACAUAGUGAUCCUGGACAGGCCUCAACUACAUCAAGGGGUACAGAUACGAGCUGUUCUGCAUCAGCAAGAACUGCCGGACGCCGCAGGUGACCCUGCACUGCACCAUCAGCGCCGAGGAGGCGUGGCAGCGGGACCUGGCGCGCCCCGUGUCGGAGA